CUACGGGUCGCACCAGUGGGGAAUAUUGCACAAUGGGGGAAACCCUGAUGCAGCAACGCCGCGUGGAGGAUGACGCAUUUCGGUGUGUAAACUCCUUUUAUAUAGAAAGAACAUGACGGUACUAUAUGAAUAAGCACCGGCUAACUCCGUGCCAGCAGCCGCGGUAAUACGGAGGGUGCAAGCGAUACUCGGAAUCACUGGGCGUAAAGGAUGCGUAGGCGGAUUAAUAGGUUGGGAGUGAAAUCCUAUGGCUCAGCCAUAGAACUGCUUUCAAAACUGUUAGUCUAGAAUGUGGGAGAGGUAGAUGGAAUUAGUGGUGUAGGGGUAAAAUCCGUAGAGAUCACUAGGAAUACCGAUUGCGAAGGCGAUCUACUGGAACACUAUUGACGCUGAGGCAUGAAAGCGUGAGGAGCAAACAGGAUUAGAUACCCUGGUAGUC
rnacentral:rRNA from 1 species